rnacentral:rRNA from 1 species
AGCUUGCUCCUUUGACGUUAGCGGCGGACGGGUGAGUAACACGUGGGUAACCUACCUAUAAGACUGGAAUAACUCCGGGAAACCGGGGCUAAUGCCGGAUAACAUUUAGAACCGCAUGGUUCUAAAGUGAAAGAUGGUUUUGCUAUCACUUAUAGAUGGACCCGCGCCGUAUUAGCUAGUUGGUAAGGUAACGGCUUACCAAGGCAACGAUACGUAGCCGACCUGAGAGGGUGAUCGGCCACACUGGAACUGAGACACGGUCCAGACUCCUACGGGAGGCAGCAGUAGGGAAUCUUCCGCAAUGGGCGAAAGCCUGACGGAGCAACGCCGCGUGAGUGAUGAAGGUCUUCGGAUCGUAAAACUCUGUUAUUAGGGAAGAACAAAUGUGUAAGUAACUAUGCACGUCUUGACGGUACCUAAUCAGAAAGCCACGGCUAACUACGUGCCAGCAGCCGCGGUAAUACGUAGGUGGCAAGCGUUAUCCGGAAUUAUUGGGCGUAAAGCGCGCGUAGGCGGUUUCUUAAGUCUGAUGUGAAAGCCCACGGCUCAACCGUGGAGGGUCAUUGGAAACUGGGAAACUUGAGUGCAGAAGAGGAAAGUGGAAUUCCAUGUGUAGCGGUGAAAUGCGCAGAGAUAUGGAGGAACACCAGUGGCGAAGGCGACUUUCUGGUCUGUAACUGACGCUGAUGUGCGAAAGCGUGGGGAUCAAACAGGAUUAGAUACCCUGGUAGUCCACGCCGUAAACGAUGAGUGCUAAGUGUUAGGGGGUUUCCGCCCCUUAGUGCUGCAGCUAACGCAUUAAGCACUCCGCCUGGGGAGUACGACCGCAAGGUUGAAACUCAAAGGAAUUGACGGGGA